UGCAAGUCGAACGGGAGCGGUGCCAGUUACUUCGGUGAUUUGGUGCCGUGGAGAGUGGCGAACGGGUGCGUAACACGUAGGUAACCUGCCCUGAAAGGGGGGAUAACCACGGGAAACUGUGGCUAAUACCGCAUAAUCUCGCCGAGACGGUGGUUUCGGUGAGGAAAGCUGAGGCGAUUUGGGAGGGGCCUGCGGUCGAUUAGCUGGUUGGUGGGGUAAAGGCCUACCAGGCGAUGAUCGAUAGCUGUUCUGAGAGGAAGACCAGCCACACGGGAACUGAGACACGGUUCCGACUCCUACGGGGGGCAGCAGUGAGGAAUAUUGCGCAUGGGGGGAACCCUGACGCAGCAACGCCGCGUGGAGGACGAAGGUUUUCGGAUUGUAAACUCCUUAUCGGGGGAAGAGGAAGGACGGUACCCCAGGACGAAGACACGGCUAACUAGGUGCCAGCAGCCGCGGUAAUACCUAGGUGUCGAGCGUUAUCCGGAAUUACUGGGCGUAAAGGGUGCGCAGGCGGCGAUACAAGUCUGGCGUGAAAGCUUCUGGCUUAACUGGGAGAGGACGUUGGAAACUGUAUGGCUAGAGUGAAUGAGAGGGGGGCGGAAAUCCCGGUGUAGCGGUGGAAUGCGUAGAUAUCGGGAAGAACACCAGAGGCGAAGGCGGCCUCCUGGCAUUUUUACUGACGCUGAGGCACGAAAGCG
rnacentral:rRNA from 1 species